UACGUAGGGGGCAAGCGUUGUCCGGAAUCAUUGGGCGUAAAGAGCGUGUAGGCGGUUCGGUAAGUCUGCUGUGAAAGUCCAGGGCUCAACCCUGGGAUGCCGGUGGAAACUGUCGGGCUAGAGUCCGGAAGAGGCGAGUGGAAUUCCUGGUGUAGCGGUGAAAUGCGCAGAUAUCAGGAGGAACACCAAUGGCGAAGGCAGCUCGCUGGGACGGUACUGACGCUGAGACGCGAAAGCGUGGGGAGCAAACAGG
rnacentral:rRNA from 1 species